rnacentral:rRNA from 1 species
CCUACGGGAGGCAGCAGUGGGGAAUAUUGGGCAAUGGGCGCAAGCCUGACCCAGCAACGCCGCGUGAAGGAAGAAGGCUUUCGGGUUGUAAACUUCUUUUAUGAGGGACGAAAGAAAUGACGGUACCUCAUGAAUAAGCCACGGUUAACUACGUGCCAGCAGCCGCGGUAAUACGUAGGAUGCGAGCGUUAUCCGGAUUUAUUGGGUGAAAAGGGUGCGUAGGCGGUCCGGAAAGUCAGCGGUAAAAGCCCGGGGCUCAACCCCGGCGCGCCGGUGAAACUGUCGGACUAGAGACGGCGAGAAGUACGCGGAAUGCGCGGUGUAGCGGUGAAAUGCAUAGAUAUCGCGCAGAACUCCGAUUGCGAAGGCAGCGUACCGGCGCCGGACUGACGCUGAGGCACGAAAGCGUGGGUAUCGAACAGGAUUAGAUACCCUAGUAGUC